rnacentral:rRNA from 1 species
GACGAACGCUGGCGGCGUGCUUAACACAUGCAAGUCGAACGGAAAGGCCCUGCUUUUGUGGGGUGCUCGAGUGGCGAACGGGUGAGUAACACGUGAGUAACCUGCCCUUGACUUUGGGAUAACUUCAGGAAACUGGGGCUAAUACCGGAUAGGUGCUCCUGCUGCAUGGUGGGGGUUGGAAAGUUUCGGCGGUUGGGGAUGGACUCGCGGCUUAUCAGCUUGUUGGUGGGGUAGUGGCUUACCAAGGCUUUGACGGGUAGCCGGGCUGAGAGGGUGACCGGCCACAUUGGGACUGAGAUACGGCACAGACUCCUACGGGAGGCAGCAGUGGGGAAUGUUGCACAAUGGGCGGAAGCCUGAUGCAGCAACGCGGCGUGCGGGAUGACGGCCUUCGGGUUGUAAACCGCUUUCGCGUGUGACGAAGCGUGAGUGACGGUAAUGGGUAAAGAAGCACCGGCUAACUACGUG